rnacentral:lncRNA from 1 species
AGGAAGAAGGAUACAAUGAGUUGUUUGUGACCUUGAGCUAGGCGUUUAUUUCACUUCUCAGCCUUUGUAAAAUGGAGAGUGGAACUAAAAUGGAGUGUGGGACGAGCGGAUCCCUGGAAGGUCCCUCCACCCCUAGCUUUUGAGGAGGAAGCCGAGAGAAAGAACGAGGCAGAGCAGAGGGUCAGAAGAGAAACAUUGGAGAUUUUCUCAGCCUUGAAUGAAGCCUGGACUUCAGGAAUGUCAUUAACAGCAGGACUUUUCAUGAUCAAUUCCAGUAACCCAGAUCUCAAGAUACGCCUCAAUAAAAUUCAAGUAGCCCUCAUUGGAACAAAGGUAUUGAUAUUUAUUUUUUGUUGUUCCUAAUUCUUAGAAUCUGACCCACUUUCUGAUGGUGGGAUUGGGGCUGCUUGGCUUUCAUAUUACCUUUUCCCAAGAAAAUCCCUUUUGCAAGAAUGCUACUCCAAAU